rnacentral:lncRNA from 1 species
GACGGGUCUGUUUGGGUUUCGGGUUUUUGGGAUCAAAUAUUUCAGCCCCAUUUGGAUAUUUCUAAAUUUCGGUCUGGGUUCGGUUCAUAUCUUUGCGGGUUUGAUUUGGAUUAGAAUAACCCAUUUAAACAUUUUUUAAUUUUUUAAAAUUCAUUAUAUACUCUAAAUUUCCCAAAAUCUAAAAAAAAAAUAAUAUAUUACAUAUAAAUUUGAAUAACGUAUGUUAGAGUGUCUAAACUUAACAUAUAAAUUGGUUUGGUUUAAAUAUUUGGACAGAGAAUCAAUA